UGUGCAAUGAAGUGGCCUCUUUAUCAAAGAAGUUUACGAAUUCUUUAACCACUGUUGGGAGCAACAAGAAGGCCGAGGUCCUUAACCCCAUGAUCAGUAGUGUAUUGUACAGGGCUGCAACAGUACAACGUACAUACAGGAUGCCUUCCAGCUGCUGCUGCCUGUUCUGCAGGUCUCACAUAUCCAGACCAGUUGUUUGAAAGCACAGCCGUGACCUGGCCAGACUCCAUCUAGUUAAAGGAGACAGCUGGCCGCCUUGCCUCAAUAUGUACCAUUUAAGGGGAUGUUCUCUGUGCGCCUGGCCACAGACAUCCAUUUGAGGACACUACAAGCAAUUUUGCACAGACAAUAUUGAGAAUGCAAAUUUAGAGAGAGUUAUCAUUUCUCUCAAUGUGUAUAAUUGUUUUUACAAACAAUUGUGUUUUCUUUAUGUUAAUUUAAACUUACACAGCUUAUAUUGAAAAUUUCCUUUCAUCUGAAAUUUAUUUACAAAUAUUCGUGUUCAUUUUCCUGGUUAAGCAUGCUAUAUUUAGAAACUCAUGGGGAGACCUUAGACUUUUGUUUAAUCCUUUAUGUUUCAACCUUUAAAUGUUCCAUUCUUAUAGUAUUACUUUAAAUCAAUUCUAAAACUGAACUUUGUUUUGUUACAUAAAUGUCGCAGGCAAAAAUAACACUACUUAUAGAUUUUACCUAUUAUGGUAAAAAAUAGGAACAUAUUGUCAUUCUUUUUUUUUUUUUUUUUUUGAGACAGAGUCUCACUCUGUCGCCAGGCUGGAGUGCGUUGGCACAAUCUCGGCUCACUGCAACCUCCGCCUCCUGGGUUCAAUCGAUUCUCCUGCCUCAGCCUCCUGAGUAGCUGGGACUACAGGUGUGUGCCACCACGCCCAGCCAAUUUUUUUUGUAUUUUUAGUAGAGACAGGGUUUCACCAUGUUGGCCAGGAUGGUCUCGAUCUCCUGACCUCGUGAUCUGCCCGCCUCAGCCUCCCAAAGUGCUGGGAUUACAGGCUUGAGCCACCGCGCCCGGCCGGUCAUUCAUUCUUGCAACAAGCAUUUAUUGAGCACCUACUGUGUGCUCACAGUAAAGAAACGUGAUCUUAUCCCAGUAGAGGUAGAUAUUCUGAAAAAGAAUAAUUCUUAAACUGCUUAAAACAGGGGUCCCCACCCCCAGGCCACAGACCAGUACCAGUCCGUGGCACUGGUUAGGAACCAGGCCACACAGCAGGGGGUGAGCGGUGGGUGAGUGAGCACAGCUUCAUCUGUAUUUACAGCUGCUCCCCAGAGCUUGCAUUACUGCCUGAGCUCUGCCUCCCGUCAGGUCAGCAGCAGCAUUAGAGUCUCAUGGGAGUGCGAACCCUGUUGUGAACUGCACAUGCGAGGGAUCUAGGUUGUGCACUCCUUAUGAGAAUCUAAUGCCUGAUGAAUCUAAUGCCUCAUGAUCUGAGGUUGAAUAGCUUCGUGCCGAAACCAUCCCCCACCCCCAUCCCGCUACCCCGAGUCCGUGAAAAAAUUGUCUUCCAUGAAACCGGUCCCUGGUACCAGAAAGGUUGGGGACCACUGGCUUAAAAUACCAAUAAAUUUUUGAACCUUAAAAACUUUGAAGAACAAGGUAAAUUGGUGUUUUAUUUAAUGUCCUACCCUUUAAUUUGUUGCAUUUUCCUAUACUCUUUACACUAUUUUAUCCCAAACUAUGUAUAUGAGGUGAAAAUAUAUAUGAAAAGGGAUACUGAAGAAUAUUUAGUUUAAAAUUAAUUUCUUACGAUCACGAGCACAUGGUGGCAUAAUUACAAAGCUUGGAAGUAUUCAAAUAGAAAAUCAAAGGUGUUUCAAUACAGUAGAAUCCCAGGACUGCAUUUUAAAAUCGCCUCACAGAUCACACUCGCUGGUGGCAAAUAUCAUCAUCGUUGCUAAAGGACAGAAAAUACUGAUGUGUGUUUUAACUAACUGGUAUAUUGAUCCAUGGGAGGCUGCACAGAAGACCCUGCGGCCAGGAGGGGCAUUGUCAGUGGCUGCUUCUCCUGAGCUCCACGCCUUCAUUGCAGCUGCAUGUUCGAUACAAUACACCUGCUUCACAGCCCCAUGGACAUCCCUACAGGUACUGUCAUGUGAAGCCUUGCCUAGUAGUUCUCUCCAGGGCAAAUGAAGCUCACAGUUUUGCAAGGUGGAAACCUCUUAUUCACAUUUGCUUUGAUUCCCCGAUGGAGUAGACUGCCUUUGUUCCAUACAGGCAAAGUAAGGAUAUUUUAAUAUCAUCCUACUUCUUAUUAGCAUUUCAUUUGUCUAUGUACUGUAUUUCAUUUGUAUGUCUCCUGAAACAUCCAAAUAGAGAACAUAAGAACACUUUAUGUACAAUCUGGAAAAAAAUUACCUGAGAAAUCAAUUAAAGAUUUUUCCCCUUUUCUGA
rnacentral:lncRNA from 1 species